UGAGAUAAGGAACAUCAGGGUGGACGUUUUUACCCAGACGGGGUCCACCGUGGCUCGUCAGAAGACGACUCUGUCAAUGCUGCAUUCACAGGAUGUGUAAAGAACUUCCUGUGACCAGACGCGCUGCAGCUGAAGAUCUUUCCCAUUCUUUAUUUAUCGCGUCAAGGUGGUCAGAUGGUCGGGUCAUCUGAAUCAUCUGAAUCUCCCUGUAACUAGACACUGACAAGAGGAACGCUUCUGUGAGAGGCGAAACCAAGCAAGCUGUCAUAACGGAUUAUUUGCUGCACCAAAAGGCCUCCCCUUACUGAAGUUGCUGGGGGCCUCCAUGGACCACCGCUGACUGGAUGUUACUCUGGACAUUUUCGACACGGUCAUGUCAUCAUGCACUGCGGUCCGAGGAAAGGCAAUGCAGCUGGAGGCUUUUCCGUGUGCGUAGGUGCUGCGUGAAGAAGGGUCUGCCAGCCAUAUAUUUCCCGCCAUAUUCUGGUCCUGUGCUCAGAAUUGGGCCACUGAUGCCGUAUUGGAAGAUGGCUAGCGCCAACUGUGAAUGAAAACACCUAGAAGAGAAAGGCCUUGAUUUCCCUGGAGAACACUGGGAUGAACACACAACCGCGCACACACAGAGAGUCACUGCAGGCAACUUCAUCUCUGCAUACAAGACAUGGUCGACAUUCAGCAUCAAACCACUCUGUCUUUCGCGAUCAGUCCUCAGUGUAGCAAAUCGAGUCUGACUGACUGAACUUUUGGAGGCGGUAGCCGUUCAUGCUUCACGUGGCAUGGUUCUGUGCCAAUUUAUGUCGGAUAGACAAUUCACUGUACCCCUCUUGUUUUACACAGACUUGAGGGAAAAGGCUACUCGUUAGAUACUGUUUUCGCUGCAGAACAUGUGUUGUAGAGGUAAAUGUCAUGUUAUGGAGAAGGUGACUGGGGUCAAGUGCUCCAAAGCAGCCAGUAGAUGGGUCUCUUUCCCAAACAAACCCCCACCCCCUGCCACCAAUUCCAGUACCUGGGACAACAUUACUUAGACUGUUGGAGCUCAACUUUCUAUUUCUAAAACUUUCUACAUUCUAAAACAAUUGCUGAACUUGAUGAUUUACUGAUUACUUGAGGUGCAUGUUUUUGAGCAGCGAAGUCUUCAUAAUACUGUACUGGGCACUUCUGACGCAAAGCACAUGCAACCAACAAAAACUUAUGUUGAGUUCUGGAAGAUUUGGUUGCGUUUUGCUCUCUCCCUCUCUUUCUCUCUAAAUUAUAAUUUUGUGGGGUUUUGUACUUACAAUUUCUUAUUUUAUAUGUUUUGCUUUCCACUGACCAUUUUAAAUGAAUCUGACACAUGAAAUCUGGUUUGUAUUUGGUAAAAUAUAAAAAUUUAUUAAAAGUAGUGUAUUCAUCAAAAUAAAUAAAGUGUUUGUUUAAAUACUGGCUUUAAGAACAUAAGGUGCCCUUCUUGUAUAAGAUGAGACAUUCAGAAGUGCUCUGAUACAGCUUCACUGUAGGGACACUGAACAGCCAUGAAUCUUUCUGGACAGUAUCUGUUUUCUGACAGUUUCUGGAAGCUUCCCCUCCCAGGAUCUGUCCUGCCAUGGCCUGUAGGAGGUGGGACCAGAAGCCAAGACAACAGCUUUCCCAUUGGCUCUUGUUGGGGCACAUG